GAUCUGUUUUUGCUUAGGUCAGAGGUUAUGCAAUUUUAACAAAAGACUGACCAUUCAUCCCCUACUGACUUGCAGGAGAGAGAGUGAGUGAGUAUCAAAGUGAGUGAGUGAGUGAGUGAGAGAGAGAAAGAGGGAGCUAGGGUGAGGGGAGAGAGAGCGAGAGAGAACUGCUAUUGCCCAGGUCAGAGGUCAUGCAGUUUUAACAAAAGACUGACCAUUCAGACCCUACUGACUUGCAGGAGAGAGAGAUGAAGAGGGGGGGAGAGAGUGAUCUGCUUUUGCUUACAACUAUUCGAGUUGUUCCAGUCCUACCGGACUGUGCAACCAGGCCACAAGAUGGCCCCGGCGCCGAGAGAGAGAGAGAGAGAGUGAGAUCUGCUUUUGCCCAGGUCAGAGGUCAUGCAGUCUUUACCAAAAGACUGACCAUUCAGACCCUACUGACUUGCAGGAGAGAGAGAGAGAUGAGAGAGUGAGUGAGUGAGUGAGUGAGUGAGAGAGAGGGGGAGAGAGAGAGAGGGUGAGAGAGAGAGAGAGAGAGAGAGAGAGAGAGAG
ensembl:lncRNA